rnacentral:lncRNA from 1 species
UUCCUCUACCUCUUUUAACUUGACUCUCCUCCAUUUGAUCUACUCUUCUUACCACGACAUCUAGGGGUCUUCUCACUAAAUGUCCAAAUCAUCUAAGCCUAUUUUCUACCAACUUUUCUACUAUAAGGUGCUACCCCCACUCUCUCUCAAAUGGUGUCAUUCCUAAUCCUAUCAAAUCUGAUCUUACCACUCAUCCAACGCAACAUCC